rnacentral:lncRNA from 1 species
CAGAGUUUGAUGUUCCCCUUCCUGUGUCCAUGUGUUCUCAUUGUUCAAUUCCCACCUAUGAGUGAGAAUAUGCGGUGUUUGGUUUUUUGUCCUUGCGAUAGUUUACUGAGAAUGAUGAUUUGCAGUUUCAUCUAUGUCCCUACAAAGGACAUGAACUCAUCAUUUUUUUAUGGCUGCAUAGUAUUCCGUGGUGUAUAUGUGCCACAUUUUCUUAAUCCAGUCUAUCAUUGUUGGACAUUUGGGUUGGUUCCAAGUCUUUGCUAUUGUGAAUAGUGCCGCAAUAAACAUACGUGUGCAUGUGUCUUUAUAGCAGCAUAUUUAUAGUCCUUUGGGUAUAUACCCAGUAAUGGGAUGACUGGGUCAAAUGGUAUUUCUAGUUCUAGAUCCCUGAGGAAUCACCACACUGACUUCCACAAUGGUUGAACUAGUUUACAGUCCCACCAACAGUGUAAAAGUGUUCCUAUUUCUCCACAUCCUCUCCAGCACCUGUUGUUUCCUGACUUUUUAAUGAUUGCCAUUCUAACUGGUGUGAGAUGGUAUCUCAUUGUGGUUUUCAUUUGCAUUUCUCUGAUGGCCAGCGAUGAUGAGCAUUUUUUCAUGUGUCUUUUGGCUGCAUAAAUGUCUUCUUUUGAGAAGUGUCUGUUCAUGUCCUUUGCCCACUUUUUGAUGGGGUUGUUUGUUUUUUCUUGUAAAUUUGUUUGAGUUCUUUGUAGAUUCUGGAUAUUAGCCCUUUGUCAGAUGAGUAGGUUGCAAAAAUUUUCUCCCAUUUUGUAGGUUGCCUGUUCACUCUCAUGGUAGUUUCUUUUGCUGUGCAAAAGCUCUUUAGUUUAAUUAGAUCCCAUUUGUCAAUUUUGGCUUUUGUUGCCAUUGCUUUUGGUGUUUUAGACAUGAAGUCCUUGCCCAUGCCUAUGUCCUGAAUGGUAAUGCCUAGGUUUUCUUCUAGGGUUUUUAUGGUUUUAGGUCUAACGUUUAAGUCUUUAAUCCAUCUUGAAUUAAUUUUUGUAUAAUGUGUAAGGAAGGGAUCCAGUUUCAGCUUUCUACAUAUGGCUAGCCAGUUUUCCCAGCACCAUUUAUUAAAUAGGGAAUCCUUUCCCCAUUGCUUGUUUUUCUCAGGUUUGUCAAAGAUCAGAUAGUUGUAGAUAUGCGGCGUUAUUUCUGAGGGCUCUGUUCUGUUCCAUUGAUCUAUGUCUCUGUUUUGGUACCAGUACCAUGCUGUUUUGGUUACUGUAGCCUUGUAGUAUAGUUUGAAGUCAGGUAGCGUGAUGCCUCCAGCUUUGUUCUUUUGGCUUAGGAUUGACUUGGUGAUGCGGGCUCUUUUUUGGUUCCAUAUGAACUUUAAAGCAGUUUUUUCCAAUUCUGUGAAGAAAGUCAUUGGUAGCUUGAUGGGGGUGGCAUUGAAUCUAUAAAUUACCUUGGGCAGUAUGGCCAUUUUCACAAUAUUGGUUCUUCCUACCCAUGAACAUGGAAUGUUCUUCCAUUUCUUUGUAUCCUCUUUUAUUUCACUGAGCAGUGGUUUGUAGUUCUCCUUGAAGAGGUCCUUCACGUCCCUUGUAAGUUGGAUUCCUAGGUAUUUUAUUCUCUUUGAAGCAAUUGUGAAUGGGAGUUCACUGAUGAUUUGGCUCUCUGUUUGUCUGUUAUUGGUGUAUAAGAAUGCUUGUCAUUUUUGUACAUUGAUUUUGUAUCCUGAGACUUUGCUGAAGUUGCUUAUCAGCUUAAGGAGAUUUUGGGCUGAGACAAUGGGGUUUUCUAGAUAUAUAAUCAUGUCAUCUGCAAACAGGGACAACUUGACUUCCUCUUUUCCUAAUUGAAUACCCUUUAUUUCCUUCUCCUGCCUAAUUGCCCUGGCCAGAACUUCCAACACUAUGUUGAAUAGGAGUGGUGAGAGAGGGCAUCCCUGUCUUGUGCCAGUUUUCAAAGGGAAUGCUUCCAGUUUUUGCCCAUUCAGUAUGAUAUUGGCUGUGGGUUUGUCAUAGAUAGCUCUUAUUAUUUUGAGAUACGUCCCAUCAGUACCUAAUUUCUUGAGAGUUUUUAGCAUGAAGCGUUGUUGAAUUUUGUCAAAGGCCUUUUCUGCAUCUAUUGAGAUAAUCAUGUGGUUUUUGUCUUUGGUUCUGUUUAUAUGCUGGAUUACAUUUAUUGAUUUGCAUAUAUUGAACCAGCCUUGCAUCCCAGGGAUGAAGCCCACUUGAUCAUGGUGGAUAAGCUUUUUGAUGUACUGCUGGAUUUGGUUUGCCAGUAUUUUAUUGAGGAUUUUUGCAUCAAUAUUCAUCAAGGAUAUUGGUCUAAAAUGAAAAAGAGAGUUUAUUAAAGGAAGUUUGUGUGUGAUUAAGUUUGCUGUAACAC